UGGACCCAAGGCUUGAGGGAAAAUACCCCCUAAGGUCAGCCCAAAAGCUUACAAGUAUAGCCAACCGAUGCUUAGUCAGAAACCCCAAGUCACGUCCAAAGAUGAGUGAAGUGUUGGAAAUGGUGAAUCAAAUUGCGGAUGCAUCAUCAGAAACCGCAAGUCCUCAACUAGCAUUCAGGAGUACCAUGUCUGUGGGAGCAUCACGGGACAAUACAAAAAAAAAUAAAAGAAGAAACAUAGAUUUGAAAGGCAAGGAAGGUGGUUGGUUUGCCCGGAUGUGGACUCCAAAGCUUUUAAGAAC
rnacentral:misc_RNA from 1 species